rnacentral:rRNA from 1 species
GAUGAACGCUGGCGGCGUGCUUAACACAUGCAAGUCGAACGAGAAGUGAAGACGGAAACCUUCGGGCGGAAGACUUUAUUUCGAGUGGCGGACGGGUGAGUAACGUGUGGGUAACCUGCCUCAUACAGGGGGAUAACAGUUGGAAACGACUGUUAAUACCGCAUAAGACCACAGCACCGCAUGGUGCGGGGGUAAAAACUCCGGUGGUAUGAGAUGGACCCGCGUUCGAUUAGCCAGUUGGCGGGGUAACGGCCCACCAAAGCGACGAUCGAUAGCCGAUCUGAGAGGAUGACCGGCCACAUUGGGACUGAGACACGGCCCAAACUCCUACGGGAGGCAGCAGUGGGGAAUAUUGCACAAUGGGGGAAACCCUGAUGCAGCGACGCCGCGUGAGUGAAGAAGUAUUUCGGUAUGUAAAGCUCUAUCAGCAGGGAAGAAAANGACGGUACC